GCUGGUAGGAAUAUUAGCCUAGAGAUACUGGCAGGUACCACACGGAGGAUGAGGUAAACAUAGGACAAAGCAGAGCUGAGCAAGAAAGAAGACAGAUUCCUGAGGACCAUACAAAACCCAGAUCCAGCCAUGCUCACAGUUGAACAUCUUGAAGUCAUCUGACCAUCUGGUUGAGCAAAGACCAUAGCCACCAUUUCUGGAUGAGAAGGCGGAGACUUGGGGGUCUGGGACACAUGGCUCAUCAGAGGUGGAUCUGACCUACGGUUAUCGCGAGAGAGUCUCUGCCAGGGGGUUCCUGUAUCCUCUGGUCUCUCUCCUGGUCUCCUGUUCUGGCCUUCCUCACCAGUGACUCUGGAGCCUCCCAGCCCAGAGAUGCCCUUGACUGUAUGUUCUCUGGGUCUGUCUUGUCUGUAAUUGUACCUCAGGGCCUGCCAUAGAAGCUCUUGGCGAAUGCUGGUGGAAAGAAUGAAUGAGUCAUUAAACCCCCUGUGGCUGAUUGGGGUUUGGAGGGGUUCAGAAAAUCAGGAACUCGCAGAGCUUCCCCUCUUCCACCCUGCCCCUGAACUUGGCACGCACGACAGCCUCUUGCCCCUCACCUUACCUGAAAUUUUGCUCCAACCCCUCUGCCCUUCCCUGGACCAUCUCAUUCAUGAAUGGUGGUAUUGGCCCGUCUUGGGUAGCUGAGUGAGGGAUGAGCUUCCACUCUAACUCCCGUACCCUGCCCCUGUUGCUCCAUUCCAAAGGCUCAGGCACCCCGGAACUCCUUUCAGAAACACACCCUGAAGGGCCAUGGCUGCUGCCCACCAGCACGCCAGAAGUGGCUGUCACGCUGAGACGUUUGCCCAGAGCUGGGGCGGCAGCGCUGAUAUUUUUGUAGCGGUGGAGAGUCCAGAAGCUGCUCGAGGAAGCAGGGAAGUUCCCUGAAGUGUACUGCAAACCUAAAAACACCGCAAACCCGUCUUUCAUCACCACCUGGAUGACUGUUUGAAGAGAAACAGAAAACAGCUCUUAACCCCUGAGAGGCUGGGCUCGCACUGAGAGAACAUGCUGUGGCCUCCCGCUCGCUGGGCAGAUGAGGAAACCCAAGCCCGAAGUAGGAACCAAAAGAAUUGGACUCUUUCUGGGAUAUCUGGAGCCUGCCUGAAGAAAAGUGAAGAGGCUAUUUAAGCAGUUUUAAGGAAUUUAUCUGGGAAACGAGGAAGGCUACUGACCAGCAAAUCCAAGCUGUUUAUAUGGGUCUGGAUGUUGUGUGCAUCUUCAGCAGGAACUCCCCUGAAGUGCUUAAGUUUUGAACUUCCUGUCUCCCUUAUGACCAUUGCAAAUGGAACCAUCCACUUGACACACUUCUCUAUAUCACACCACUGAUACCCUGCAACGAAAAUAAAUUUUAGGCUCAAUUGGUUUGGAAGUUUAGUACACCUUGUGAAUGGACCGGAAAGCCAACGUACCUGAAACCUUUUGCAUCAAUUCAGAGGAAGAGAAAUGAUACAAGGCAGAAGCAGCAAGUACACCAUAGGGAAAUUCUAAGCAGCCAACAUCCAGGACACAAAGAUCUAAAAGCUAUGGAGAAGAAAAAGAACACUGAGGCAGAUGGCCAACAUACAUCCCUUCUAGAGUUAAUCUAAUGACGGGGUAGGCAGCCCCACAGAGGUAACAGAGCCACUUACCUCUGCAAUCUGUAUGAAGAUUUGCUGGGGAUACUGUGGCAGGAGCACUUCAUAUAAAUCAUUUAGAUAUGCAACCUGCAUAUAUACAUUCAGCCAGGACACAAUGGUCAGGGGACUUAAAUGCCACUUAAGGGCCUAAGGGAAAACAGACAAAAGAGACCAAUGGUUGAGAAAAGAAAAAGGUAUUUCUGCUCCCCUUGGGCCUCUAAAGGAGUUCAAAAUGAAGCCAUGUUCCACGCCACAAUGUGUCCAGCUGGAGAACACCUAGGCAGAUGCACUCACACGAAUGUGGAAAAGCUAUUAUGUAUGCAUUUUUUAAAAAGGACUGAAAAAUUAACUUGUAACAUACCUUCAUAAUGAUUAAUUCCAUGCUAAGAAUUUCCUCUCCUGAACAAGCCCCAUCUGUAACAUACGCAAACUGGUGCAGCUUUGGAGGAUAGAUUUCCUAAAAGGAAAUAUAAGGGAGAAACAACUAGCAAAAAUCUCUAAUAGUUUUAACUUAUAAUGUACAUCCAAAUAUUGUUUUUAGUAUUCUACCAGGAAAAGAGAGAGGGAGCACCAUGGAAUACAUAUAGGGGCUACUCUGCUGGUCAAAAUGUGUUCACUGUGAAAGAAACAACUCCCCCCGCCCCAAUAAAGAAAUGCAUAAACACAAUUUCUAUUCAGUGGGGAGAGUUUUGAAAUUUUCACCUUUUUAAUACCUUUAGCAACAUGUUUGCAAGUUAGGCCCAUCCACCCUUCUAAGCAUUCCAAAAUUUUUAAUCCUCUUGGGUCAAAGUUCAAUUUUUUGGCUUAAAGUAACUACAUUAACUUAAACAUUUUAUAGACUCACUACUUCUCUCACUUCUUGGUUAAUUUCUAGCCCUUUCUGCAUGUAUCUUUACUUUAGAUGACCUCAAAUUAGAAAAACGUAGACAAAAAGUUGGCGUCUUCCAGUAAUCUCAGAGGAUCUCAAGAAACGGCAUAUGCCACAUAACAUUUGAAAAUGAU